GACGAACGCUGGCGGCGUGCUUAACACAUGCAAGUCGAACGGAAAGGCCCUGCUUUUGUGGGGUGCUCGAGUGGCGAACGGGUGAGUAACACGUGAGUAACCUGCCCUUGACUUUGGGAUAACUUCAGGAAACUGGGGCUAAUACCGGAUAGGAGCUCCUGCUGCAUGGUGGGGGUUGGAAAGUUUCGGCGGGUGGGGAUGGACUCGCGGCUUAUCAGCUUGUUGGUGGGGUAGUGGCUUACCAAGGCUUUGACGGGUAGCCGGCCUGAGAGGGUGACCGGCCACAUUGGGACUGAGGGACGGCCCAGACUCCUACGGGAGGCAGCAGUGGGGAAUAUUGCACAAUGGGCGGAAGCCUGAUGCAGCAACGCCGCGUGCGGGAUGACGGUCUUCGGGUUGUAAACCGCUUUCGCCUGUGACGAAGCGUGAGUGACGGUAAUGGGUAAAGAAGCACCGGCUAACUACGUG
rnacentral:rRNA from 1 species